rnacentral:SRP_RNA from 2 species
GCUGGGCGUGGUGGUGUGCACCUGUAAUCCCAGCUACUUGGAGGCUGAGGUAAGAGAAUCACUUGAACCCAGGAGGUGGAGGUUGCAGUGAGCUCAGAUCAUGCCACUGCACUCUAGCCUGGGUGACAGAGUGAGACUCCAUCUCAA